rnacentral:rRNA from 1 species
GAGUUUGAUCCUGGCUCAGAACGAACGCUGGCGGCGUGGAUAAGACAUGCAAGUCGAACGGGAACUUUCGCUGUAGCAAUACAGUGGAAGUUCUAGUGGCGAACGGGUGCGUAACACGUGGGCAAUCUGCCUUAAAGUGGGGGAUAGCUCGGCGAAANNNAUUAAUACCGCAUGUGAUCAGAGGGGACAUCCCUUCGAAAUCAAAGUCGGGGCAACCUGACGCUUUUUGAGGAGCCCGCGGCCUAUCAGCUAGUUGGUGGGGUAACGGCUCACCAAGGCUUUGACGGGUAGCUGGUCUGAGAGGACGACCAGUCACACUGGAACUGAGACACGGUCCAGACACCUACGGGUGGCAGCAGUCGAGAAUUUUUCUCAAUGGGGGAAACCCUGAAGGAGCGACGCCGCGUGGAGGAUGAAGGUCUUCGGGUUGUAAACUCCUGUCAUUUGGGAACAAUGCUUACGUAUUAACUGUACGUGAGUUGAUAGUACCAGAAGAGGAAGAGACGGCUAACUCUGUGCCAGCAGCCGCGGUAAUACAGAGGUCUCAAGCGUUGUUCGGAUUCAUUGGGCGUAAAGGGUGUGUAGGUGGCGCGCUAAGUCGGGUGUGAAAUUUCGGAGCUUAACUCCGAAACUGCAUUCGAUACUGGCGUGCUUGAGGACUGGAGAGGAGACUGGAAUUCAUGGUGUAGCAGUGAAAUGCGUAGAGAUCAUGAGGAAGACCAGUGGCGAAGGCGGGUCUCUGGACAGUUCCUGACACUGAGACACGAAGGCCAGGGGAGCAAACGGGAUUAGAUACCCCGGUAGUCCUGGCAGUAAACGGUGCACGUUUGGUGUGGGAGGAUUCGACCCCUUCUGCGCCGGAGCUAACGCGUUAAACGUGCCGCCUGGGGAGUACGGUCGCAAGAUUAAAACUCAAAGAAAUUGACGGGGGCCCGCACAAGCGGUGGAGUAUGUGGCUUAAUUCGAUGCAACGCGAAGAACCUUACCUGGCCUUGACAUGCAUCUCUAAGCUGGUGAAAGCCAGUGACUCCCGAAAGGGAGAAUUUGCACACGUGCUACAAUGGC